rnacentral:rRNA from 1 species
AAUAUUGGGCAAUGCCCGCAAGGGUGACCCAGCAACGCCGCGUGGAGGAUGAAUGUCGUAAGAUUGUAAACUCCUGUUAGAGGGGAAGAAUAGUACCGGUUGGACCGGUAUAUGACUGUACCCUCAGAGAAAGCCCCGGCUAACUACGUGCCAGCAGCCGCGGUCAUACGUAGGGGGCAAGCGUCGUCCGGAUUUACUGGGUGUAAAGGGCGCGCAGGCGGGAUAAAAAGUCAGUGGUGAAAUCCUACAGCUUAACUGUAGGACUGCCUUUGAUACUUUUAUUCUUGAGUUCGGGAGAGAGAGACAGAAUUCCAGGUGUGUGGUGAAAUACGUAGAUAUCUGGAAGAACACCAGUUGCGAAGGCGGUCUCUUGGUCCGACACUGACGCUGAGGCGCGAAAACGUGGGGAGCAAACA